AGCAGCCGCGGUAAUUCCAGCUCCAAUAGCGUAUAUUAAAGUUGUUGCAGUUAAAAGCUCGUAGUUGAAUUUCGGGAUUGGCGCAUCGGUCGUGCCUUACGGGGUAUGAACUGGUGCAGUCAAUUUCUCACCUUCUGGAGAACCGCGAUGUCCUUAAUUGGGUGCCGCGGGGAACCAGGACCUU
rnacentral:misc_RNA from 1 species